rnacentral:rRNA from 1 species
CCUACGGGUGGCAGCAGUGGGGAAUAUUGGGCAAUGGAGGCAACUCUGACCCAGCAAUGCCGCGUGAGUGAUGAAGGUAAUUUUAUUGUAAAGCUCUUUUCUUUGGAACGAAUAAAUGACGGUACCAAAGGAAUAAGCCCCGGCUAACUACGUGCCAGCAGCCGCGGUAAUACGUAGGGGGCAAGCGUUGUUCGGAAUGACUGGGCGUAAAGGGUGUGUAGGUGGUUUGAUAAGUUAGAUGUGUAAUACCCAGGGCUUAACUCGGGUGCUGCAUCUAAAACUGUUAGACUUGAGUACUGGAGAGGAUAGUGGAAUUCCUAGUGUAGCGGUGGAAUGCGUAGAUAUUACGAAGAACCCCGAUUGCGAAGGCAGCUUACUAAACUGUGACUGACAUUGAUGCUCGAAAGUGUGGGUAUCAAACAGGAUUAGAUACCCGUGUAGUC